AGAGUUUGAUCCUGGCUCAGGAUGAACGCUAGCUACAGGCUUAACACAUGCAAGUCGAGGGGCAGCAUGGUCUUAGCUUGCUAAGGCCGAUGGCGACCGGCGCACGGGUGAGUAACACGUAUCCAACCUGCCGUCUACUCUUGGACAGCCUUCUGAAAGGAAGAUUAAUACAAGAUGGCAUCAUGAGUCCGCAUGUUCACAUGAUUAAAGGUAUUCCGGUAGACGAUGGGGAUGCGUUCCAUUAGAUAGUAGGCGGGGUAACGGCCCACCUAGUCUUCGAUGGAUAGGGGUUCUGAGAGGAAGGUCCCCCACAUUGGAACUGAGACACGGUCCAAACUCCUACGGGAGGCAGCAGUGAGGAAUAUUGGUCAAUGGACGAGAGUCUGAACCAGCCAAGUAGCGUGAAGGAUGACUGCCCUAUGGGUUGUAAACUUCUUUUAUAAAGGAAUAAAGUCGGGUAUGCAUACCCGUUUGCAUGUACUUUAUGAAUAAGGAUCGGCUAACUCCGUGCCAGCAGCCGCGGUAAUACGGAGGAUCCGAGCGUUAUCCGGAUUUAUUGGGUUUAAAGGGAGCGUAGAUGGAUGUUUAAGUCAGUUGUGAAAGUUUGCGGCUCAACCGUAAAAUUGCAGUUGAUACUGGAUAUCUUGAGUGCAGUUGAGGCAGGCGGAAUUCGUGGUGUAGCGGUGAAAUGCUUAGAUAUCACGAAGAACUCCGAUUGCGAAGGCAGCCUGCUGGACUGUAACUGACGCUGAUGCUCGAAAGUGUGGGUAUCAAACAGGAUUAGAUACCCUGGUAGUCCACACAGUAAACGAUGAAUACUCGCUGUUUGCGAUAUACAGUAAGCGGCCAAGCGAAAGCGUUAAGUAUUCCACCUGGGGAGUACGCCGGCAACGGUGAAACU
rnacentral:rRNA from 1 species